GUACUUGCUUUGGCUGCACAUAUACUAAAACUGGAAUGAUACAGGGAAGAUUAGAAUGACCCUGCACAUAAAAAACCAAAAUGAGAGUGUUGGGCAGUAGUG
rnacentral:snRNA from 1 species